GAUGAACGCUGGCGGCGUGCCUAAUACAUGCAAGUCGAGCGAACGGACGAGAAGCUUGCUUCUCUGAUGUUAGCGGCGGACGGGUGAGUAACACGUGGAUAACCUACCUAUAAGACUGGGAUAACUUCGGGAAACCGGAGCUAUACCGGAUAAUAUUUUGAACCGCAUGGUUCAAAAGUGAAAGACGGUCUUGCUGUCACUUAUAGAUGGAUCCGCGCUGCAUUAGCUAGUUGGUAAGGUAACGGCUUACCAAGGCAACGAUGCAUAGCCGACCUGAGAGGGUGAUCGGCCACACUGGAACUAAGACACGGUCCAGACUCCUACGGGAGGCAGCAGUAGGGAAUCUUCCGCAAUGGGCGAAAGCCUGACGGAGCAACGCCGCGUGAGUGAUGAAGGUCUUCGGAUCGUAAAACUCUGUUAUUAGGGAAGAACAUAUGUGUAAGUAACUGUGCACAUCUUGACGGUACCUAAUCAGAAAGCCACGGCUAACUACGUG
rnacentral:rRNA from 1 species